UAUUAUAUUUAAUGUUAAAUUGUUACUAGGGUAGUAGUAGUUAUGUUCUUGAAACCUAAAGAAUUUGGCGGUAUUUUAGUCUUUUCAGAGGAAUCUGUCCUAUAAUUGAUAAUACACGAUUUAUUUUACUUAAUUUGGUAAUUAGUUUGUAUACCGCCGUCUUAAGAUUAUUUUUAUUGAGAAGAUUUUCUUAUUUUUAUAUUAAAAGAUACGUCAGGUCAAGGUGCAGCUUAUGAUUAAGUAGAGAUGGAUUACAAUGAUUUUAGUUAUAUGAAUAAUUUUUAGAAUUAUAUUUUUGAAGGUGGAUUUGAUUGUAAAUUUAUUUUAAAUUAUUAUUUUGAUUGUGGCUCUAGAAUGUGUACAUAUCGCCCGUCACUCUCAUAAUUUUAUUGAG
rnacentral:rRNA from 1 species